rnacentral:lncRNA from 1 species
UAAGGCCUUGAUUUUCUUGCGCCAUCGCCUUGAUGAAGGUUUGAAACUGUGCUAAGGCCUUUAUUUUCUUGCGCCAUCGCCUUGAUGAAGGUUUGAAACUGUGCUAAGGCUUUGAUUUACUUGCGCCAUCACCUUGAUGAAGGUUUGAAAAUUGAAUAUAUCACAGUCAAAGAUCCACCUAUCUUGUGGAAUGGCUUAAUGGAGAGAUANNNNN